UUUUUUUUUUUUUUUUUUUGCGAUGACUAGAAAAAGUAACGUCAGUGGGGGGACAAAGUUGAAUGUCGCCUUGCUGGGAACUGUGAAGCCACAGCCAGCCCAGCAAGUUAGGCGCCGGGAGCUCCGAGCCCAGAGGUGGGCUUCUCCAGGCACCAGCCUAAGUUGCGCGCCCGACGCGGGGUCGUGAGGGAAUGGGACUGGCUUCGGAAAGGGCCCUGGCCCGCCACUCCGGAACCGGGACCCGUCCCGUGCAUGCCGCCGUUUCGCCUCCUCCCGGCACCCCCGAUCCAGGGUCCCCCGGACGCCGGACUCCCGGCUGCGCUGGCCCAGGCCGCCGAAACCGGCCUCGCGCGCGCGGCCCGCCAGUCCCGCCUCUCAGCCCACGGAACCGGAACCGGGCUCGGACCCAGCCUCGCGCCCCGGAGCGCCGCUCCCAGCCGGGACCGGGACCCGAAGCCCGCCCCGGGAGCAGGGCGGGACUCACCUUCGUACUGCAGGUCCACCAGGACCAGCAGGAACGGGAACACCGCGCCCAGCCGGCUGCCCACCGAGCCGGGGGCCACCAUGUCCAAGGGCGCCUGAGCCGAAGAGCAGGAAGGUGCGCGGCCCAGCAGCCCGCGCGGCCAACAGCCCGCAGCGAAGCGCCCCGUCCACUCGCUCGCUCGCUCGGUCAGCGCUCGGGCCUCAGCGGCGGCUGGCGCCCGGCGGCGGAAAACAGCGGUAGGCGGGGCCCGCGGAGCCACGCCCCGGGCGCCGCCGCCGCCCAAUCGCCUUCCUUCUGGCCACAGAGCGGCCCAGCUCGCCCGGGUCGUGGUUGGCGCUGAUUGGUUGUGGGGGCUGGCGCCCCGCCCCGCCUCUGAUAGGAUAACGUGGAAGCACAAGACGAGGCUGCGUCCGCUGGUCGUGGAGCUGUCAGCGGGCUCCAAACCGCCGCCGAGCGCCGAGGAGGAAGAGGCUGGGGAGGCCGGGCUGCGGCCGCCGAGUCCGCAUGCGCGGGCCCUAGAGCCCUUCUGGGCCGGCCUCGCGGGCUGGCUUGGCAGGGGCGGCGGGUUCCUGGAGCGAGCCCAGAUUCCUUCGGGUAGUGUUGGGGGAUAAGGCGCCGCCGCCUGGGCUGGUAAGGCCAGAGAGUCUCAGGAAGUCUCCAGGGACGUCCGAGAGAGAUGACUGGACUUCUUGAAUGAAAUGGGGGAAGAAACCCAAAUAGCCACUCCGUGGGUGAAAAGGGGAAAAAAAAAGUUUAUUCCAAACUGCGAAGGCUGUCUCUCGGGAAAGCAGAGAGAAGCGCUGCGCGGGCUGGGGUGAUGGUGGGGAUUUAUCUUCUGGGUUAUAUGGGACCUUGACGGGCUAAUAGACCCCACUGUCAUAAGUUAAUGGAAGAGCCAAAUGUCCCUUUUCCCAGAGAUAGGAGAAUAACUCCACUUAGCAAGUAGGAACUAUCUUCACCACCACCACCACCCCGAGGGAAUGCUGGCUUUUGUCUAGAUGCCCUACCUGGGGGAAAGGAAUUUCUUGGGGGACCUGACACUAUUGAGGUCUGCUAGUGGAUCAGAGAUGCAAGAGCCAUUCUACCAAGUCUCACAGUUGGUCUGGGUGGCUCUCUUAAAAUCCGCAGUCCUCUCAGUCUCGCCAAAGAAACUUCCAGAAUCACUUUUUUUUUUAGGUUGGCUUAAUGGUUUCUGGGGCUAUUUCCUGCCCUAGACUAAGUAUCUAUUGAUGCAUCCUUAAAAUGCUUCCAGUGCCUUUAGCUCACCCUACAUAACAAAGUCCCUACCCAUUACUUGCUCAGUCUUCAGUAUUAGCCCUCUGCUUUCCCAAGCAAUGACCUUAGUUUGGAAUAAACUUUUCUCUUAUACACCC
rnacentral:lncRNA from 1 species